rnacentral:tRNA from 1 species
GUCCGCAUGGCGAAAUUGGCAAACGCGGUCGGCUUAGACCCGACAAUCUGUAGGUUCGAAUCCUUCUGUGGACA